CUGAUUGGGUGCGGGGCCCGCAAGGGUUACCAAGCUCAGUCAAACUCCGAAUGCCAUAGAUUUAGUUCCGGGAGUCAGACAGUGAGUGCUAAGAUCCAUUGUCGAAAGGGAAACAGCCCAGACCAUCAGCUAAGGUCCCCAAGUGUGUGUUAAGUGGGAAAGGAUGUGGAGUUGCACAGACAACCAGGAUGUUGGCUUAGAAGCAGCCACCAUUGAAAGAGUGCGUAAUAGCUCACUGGUCGAGUGACUCUGCGCCGAAAAUGUAACGGGGCUCAACACACCACCGAAGCUAUGGCUUGAUGCUUGCAUCAGGGGUAGGGGAGCGUUGAAUGCGGGUUGAAGGUGUACCGGAAGGAGCGCUGGACUGCAUUCAAGUGAGAAUGCCGGUAUGAGUAACGAAAAGAUCUGUGAGAAUCAGAUCCGCCGAAAGCCUAAGGGUUCCUGAGGAAGGUUCGUCCGCUCAGGGUAAGUCGGGACCUAAGGCGAGGCCGAUAGGCGUAGUCGAAGGACAACAGGUAGAAAUUCCUGUACCACCGUAAUCCGUGAUGAGCGAUGGGGUGACGCAGUAGGGUAGUGACGCGGACUGAUGGAUGUCCGUCUAAGCAGUAAGGCUGAUGUGUUAGGCAAAUCCGGCACUCGUAAGGUUGAGUUGUGAUGGGGAGUUGGAUCAUGUAUCCGACGAGUCGUUGAUUUCACACUGCCAAGAAAAGCCUCUAGUUAGGAGAUAGGUGCCCGUACCGCAAACCGACACAGGUAGUCGAGAUGAGAAUUCUAAGGUGCGCGGGCGAACUCUCGUUAAGGAACUCGGCAAAAUGACCCCGUAACUUCGGGAGAAGGGGUGCCUCGGUAGGGUGAAUAGCCCGAGGGGGCCGCAGUGAAAAGGCCCAAGCGACUGUUUAGCAAAAACACAGGUCUGUGCGAAGCCGCAAGGCGAAGUAUACGGGCUGACGCCUGCCCGGUGCUGGAAGGUUAAGGGGAGUGGUAAGCUCGAAAGAGCGAAGCUAUGAACAGAACCCCCAGUA
rnacentral:rRNA from 1 species